rnacentral:lncRNA from 1 species
CGCACACCGAGAGAGAGAGAGAGUGACGCACACCGAGAGAGAGAGAGAGAAGAGACGAGAGGGAGAGAGACGCAGAGGGAGAGAGACGCAGAGGGAGAGAGACGCAGAGGGAGAGAGACGCAAAGAAAGAGAGAGCGGGAGAGAGAGACGCAGAGAGGGAGACAUGCAUAGCGAGGGAGAGACGCAGAGGUAGAGAGACACGCAGAGAGAGCGACACGCACAGAGAGAGAGACCAGAGAGAGAGACACGCACAGAGAGAGAGAGAGAGACACGCACAGAGAGAGAGAGAGAGAGACACGCACAGAGAGAGAGAGAGAGAGACACGCACAGAGAGAGAGAGAGACACGCACAGAGAGAGAGAGAGAGAGAGAGAGACACGCAGAGGGAGAGAGAGGGAGACGGAAAGAGAGAGAGGGAGACGGAAAGAGAGAGAGGGAGACGCAGAGGGAGAGAGACGCAGAGGGAGAGAGACGCAGAGGGAGAGAGAGACGCAGAGGGAGAGAGAGACGCAGAGGGAGAGAGAGACGCGCAGAGGGAGAGAGAGACGCG